GGUCAAAGGUCAAGGUCACGGUGACCCGAAAUAGUAAAAUGGUUUCCGGAUGAUAAUUCAAGAACGCAUACGCCUAGGAUCAUGAAACUUCAUGGGUAGAUUGAUCAUGACUCGCAGAUGACCCCUAUCAAUUUUGAGGUCACUAGGUCAAAGGUCAAGGUCACGGUGACCCGAAAUAGUAAAAUGGUUUCCGGAUGAUAACUCAAGAACGCAUACGCCUAGGAUCAUGAAACUUCAUAGGUAGA